rnacentral:rRNA from 1 species
GACGAACGCUGGCGGCGUGCUUAACACAUGCAAGUCGAACGCUGAAGCUCAGCUUUUGUUGGGUGGAUGAGUGGCGAACGGGUGAGUAACACGUGAGUAACCUGCCUCCUUCUUUGGGAUAACGCCCGGAAACGGGUGCUAAUACUGGAUAUUCACUGGUCUUCGCAUGGGGGUUGGUGGAAAGGGUUUUUCUGGUGGGGGAUGGGCUCGCGGCCUAUCAGCUUGUUGGUGGGGUGAUGGCCUACCAAGGCUUUGACGGGUAGCCGGCCUGAGAGGGUGACCGGUCACAAUGAGGCUGAGACACGGCCCAGACUCCGACGGGAGGCAGCAGUGGGGAAGAUUGCACGAUGGGCGCAAGACUGAUGCAGCGACGCCGCGUGAGGGAUGGAGGCCGUCGGGUUGGGAACCUCGUGCGAAAAUGGUCAAGCCGCAACAAUGGUUGUAGUGAGGGUAGUGUGUAAAGAAGCGCCGGCUAACUACGUG